rnacentral:rRNA from 1 species
CUACGGGAUGCACCAGUCGAGAAUCUUCCACAAUGGGCGAAAGCCUGAUGGAGCGACGCCGCGUGCUUGAUGAAGCCUUUAGGUGUAAAGAGCUUUUGCCGCCGAGCAACCCCGCUUUUGCGGGGUGAGUGUAGGCGGAGAAUAAGGGGGUCCUAAUUCUGUGCCAGCAGGAGCGGUAAUACAGAACCCCCAAGCGUUAUCCGGAUUUAUUGGGCGUAAAGGGUCCGUAGGCGGUUAAGAUAGUCUCCGGUUAAAGCUCAUGGGCUUAACCUUUGAACUGCCGGAGAAACUUCUUGACUGGAGGGCGUUAGAGACUGGCGGAACGCACGGUGUAGGGGUGAAAUCCGUUGAUAUCGUGCGGAACACCAAAAGCGAAGGCAGCCAGUUGGAACGACCCUGACGCUGAGGGACGAAAGCGUAGGUAGCGAAAAGGAUUAGAUACCCGAGUAGUC